CAUUUCUUGUGCACUUGAAAAGAAUGUGUAUUCUGCUGUUUUGCAUGGUAUGUCCUACUCUGAAGCUGCUCUGGUCUCCCUGCUGCCACCCCAGGUCUCUGGAGACACAAUGACCCCUGACUACUUGGAACAAGAUGUGAAGAAAUCCAGUAUCCUUUUAGUUCAAGUGGGAUAACCAUUCCCAAGGAAUUAUGGUAAAUCUGCAGGCAGACCACGUGGGCAAGAGAAUAUCCAAUUGCAGGUGGACCACACAAGCAAAACCGCAUCCCAAGGAAGAUCAGAGAGAGUCAGCAGGUCUGCAUGCAUGGAAAAAUGAUGAAGAAUCUGACCUCCUGCCUUAAUGUUUAACUGAUAUUGUUUCCCCCCUUUUUCCCUUUAAAAAUUGUCAUGGCAGAGCAGAAUCUUCAGAGUUGGUUUCUGGACGUGAAUCCACCUUCUCCCUAGAUUGCUGGCUUUUCUGAAUAAAGCAUCUUUCCUCUCUGCUGA